AUCAGAUGUUCUUUCUGGUACCCCUCCAGAAAGAAAUGGCAAGGGAAAACAGCUAAUGAUGUCAUGCUGGCAUAGUCUCUAGAAACAAUCUAUAAGGAGAACUGGAGAGGCCAACUGGAAAACCAAAUUCAUGGAUAUAUGGUGGAUCCAAUUACAUUUCAGUGCAUUAACAAACAUGAAAUAAAUGAAUUGAAGAUGUUUUGGCUUGUCCAGCUAGAAUGCAUCUCAAUGGACUUCUUUCCUGUGAUUCACCCUCCCUCUUAUCCAAGACUUGCCUCUUGUUGUGUAGCUUCCAACCAUGUUUCUGCUUCUGAGCUUUCUCCUUCUGAUGCUGCAUUUAGGUUCCUUAUGCACCCUACAACUUGAGUACUUCCCAGCAUAUGUGACCUCCU